rnacentral:misc_RNA from 1 species
ACUCCCUAAUUUACUGUUGCCAAUCAAAUGAAACCUAAUAUUAGGCUUUAUCCAAAUGUGAAAAGCAAAACCUGAAGCGCCCAACGGCGCACACCCAAACAACAAACACAGCAAGUCGCCAGAUAUUUCAAUCAAACACCACCAUUUCAUUUCAAAUUCAAUAUAGUUACAACAAAGCCCAAAACACCAAAAAGCCGUAAAACAUACCCAUUAGCCUAACCCAUAAGAUUACUUACAAUAAUCCCUAAACCCAAAAACUACCAACUUCCCCAUCUAAAACGCCUACCCAAAACGCCAUAAUUUCUUGACUGCAAGACUUACAAUCAGAAUCAAAAGCCCUAACCACCAAACCCAUAUAGGGUUCUGCCCUGUCUCUUCAGUGCAUAAACCACAUCCAUGGCUGUAACAGUCUUACGGCGAGCGUGUUCGGUGUACGUCACAGCAUCUCUGAUCACAUUCUCAAGGAAGAU